UUGACUUCGCCACAUGGCAGCUCGCAUAUCUGUCAAGUCAGAAACGUAAACAAACACGGACAACCGCCCGUAAAGAUUGUGUGCAGAAUAAUCGUAAAAUUUUAUGUGAAAACUCGGGAAAAGGAAAAACAUCAUUUCAUCCCGAAAUUUGGCAACAUUCGUCCGAGUAUGAUCGAGCAGCUGUGUGUGUGUAUGCCGACGAAAUACGACGCCGUUUCUACAACAAUCACUAAAGCCGGCUGUGAUCGUGAUCGGCACAUUCUCAACUGGACCAACACACCGGUCGUUGUGUAUCUUCAAGCAAACCAACGUUGCCAUACACCACAAAAUAGCAUGGAAAGGAAAGUAUUAAAAAGUAAUGUCAUAUUUGAAAGCAUUCUAAUCUUUCAUUGUUAUUUUUCCACUGCAAACAGGACAUUGGAUCACCGCAUCGACAAGUGGUUUUUAUGUGCAAGUGUUGUUAAGAAGUGUGUUGUACGGUGUAUUACGUGUUUUACUUUAUUUGUAUCGCUUUGCAAGUGUUACAAUUAGUGCGUUUAAUCGUUGUAACCCAAAUAGCCAGCUCGUACUUUAUAGCUGAUUUAGGGCUGUUUAACGAAAAAUCGUUCCGAUGUCGUACUUUGUGGCUGAUUAAGAGAUAGACGGUACUUUGCGGAACUAUAGAGCUUUUUAACAGGCACAUGGUACUCUUUGGAACUUUGCGGCUGAUUAACACUAUGUGUAGGGUUAAUGAUGGAACUUUAAGGCUUGUUAAGAACGUGUACCGAACUUGGUGGAACUUUAUAGCUUUUUAAUGCAUGACAUCGGUACAAGGUGGGUCUUGUCAAAGUGUCAAAGACAGACGCCGCCAAUCAUCUCAUUGCUGCUGUACAAGUUAGAUUAGUUCUUUGAAGAAGGGAUUUUGAAGGAAGUGAUUGUUAUUGUACAGUAAAUUGUGAUACGUUUCGUGUAAUUUAUGAAUAUUAAGGAUUGAAAAAUAUACACAUGUACACAAACAAAACAAA